GACGAACGCUGGCGGCGUGCUUAACACAUGCAAGUCGAACGGAAAGGCCUGUCCUUCCUUGUGUUGGACGGGUACUCGAGUGGCGAACGGGUGAGUAACACGUGAGUGAUCUGCCCCCAACUUGGGUAUAAGCCUGGGAAACUGGGUCUAAUUCCCGAUAGGACUGCAGGGUGGUGCCUGUGGUGGAAAACGAUUUUCUAGUGGUUGGGGAUGAGCUCGCGGCCUAUCAGCUUGUUGGUGGGGUAAUGGCCUACCAAGGCGGCGACGGGUAGCCGGCCUGGGAGGGUGGACGGCCACAUUGGGACUGAGAUACGGCCCAGACUCCUACGGGAGGCAGCAGUGGGGAAUAGUGCACAAUGGGCGGAAGCCUGAUGCAGCGACGCCGCGUGGGGGAUGACGGCCUUCGGGGUGUAAACUCCUUUCGACCGCGAGGAAGCCGCCUGGUGGGAAGGGUGGUGACGGUAGUGGUAGAAGAAGCACCGGCUAACUACGU
rnacentral:rRNA from 1 species